rnacentral:lncRNA from 1 species
GAUCUUCCAUCACCACUGGAGUAGUUUCUUGAUUGUUUUGCCUGCAUAAUUCACUCACAUAAAUAAACAAACAAACAAACAAAUGUUCCCAAUAAAAGCUCACUCAUAUAGUAGAGCUAUAAGCUAUCAAAAGGGUUUUCGCGGGUGGGACUAAUGCAAAACAAGGACGGUACUAUUCGAAUUAUUACGCAUGAAACUAAGAAAAGUGAGGCAACACAAGCUAUAGUCAUGUGCCAAAAAGGAAGAAAACUAAAAUCUCCUUCGUACAACAUAUGACUCAACCCGACCCAAUCCAGAUAGAAAAUUCCAUAACCAAGUGAUAGACAUCCAAACACCAAAAAGACCCCAGAUUUUAUUAUGCCUAGGGCCCAUGAAAUCGUCAAGCCGCCCUUGCGCAAACAUGGAAUAAAGACGCUACUUCCAUGAGACCUCGCCCCCAAAACUCACUCACAUAAAUGAAAACCCAAAUAUCUUUCUUUGGCUUCUCUGGCUGCCCCACCCAACUUCUCAUCUUCAUCUGAUU